UACGUAGGGGGCGAGCGUUGUUCGGAAUCAUUGGGCGUAAAGGGCGUGUAGGCGGUUUGUUAAGUCAUGUGUGAAAUCCCUCGGCUCAACCGGGGAACGACGCAUGAAACUGGCAAGCUAGAGUACCAAAGAGGGUGGUGGAAUUCCCAGUGUAGCGGUGAAAUGCGUAGAUAUCGGGAGGAACACCUGUGGCGAAGGCGGCCACCUGGUUGGAUACUGACGCUGAGACGCGAAAGCGUGGGGAGCAAACAGG
rnacentral:rRNA from 1 species